UCCCUUGUUUAUGAUAUUCAGAUUGUAUCAUUUUGUUGCUGUUGUUUUUGACAUGUAACCUGUCACCUUGGAUGAUAUUUAAGGGUUGGUAAGUCAUAGUGCCUGUUUUGAUUUUCUCUUUUUUCGAAAUAAAAAAAUGAAAUAAAAUAUUACCAGUUGCUUUUCUUUGAGCUCAGUUAGACUUGGCCGUUUUCGUUUUGGCUCAGUCUUCUAGC